UUCCCACCGAGCCUCGCGGCGAAGAGAGGCGAUAAAAGGGGGCGGCAGCGCAGGUGCCGCGGUGGAGGGCAGGUGCGGGUGGCGGGUUUGGGUCAGCUGAGGAGCGGAGCUCCCGAGGCCUCAUGAAGCCGCAAGAGCCGCCGCAGAGCGGCCCCGCCACGGCCGCGCUGGAGGCGCUGAAGCAGCGGGCGUGCGAGAGCGUGGAUCUGAACGCUGCGCGUCUGGGCGCGCUGAGCCGCGACAUCUGGAGCCGUCCCGAGCUGGCGUACGCGGAGCACCAGGCGCACGACGCCCUGACCCGCUUCUUCUGCGGCGGGGACCUGCCCGGCGCCGCCUGGGCCGUGCAGCCGCGCUACAAGCUGGGCACAGCUUUCCGCGCCGACUGGGGCUCGGCGGCCCCGCAGGACCCGCUGCGCCUCGCCUUCCUCUGCGAGUACGACGCGCUGCCCGGGCUCGGGCACGCGUGCGGCCACAACCUCAUCGCCGAGGUGGGAGCCGCCGCCGCGCUGGCGCUGAAGGCCGCCCUGGAGAGCCUGGCGGAGCCCGUGGCCGUGCAGAUCACGGUGCUGGGGACGCCCGCGGAAGAGCAAGGAGGAGGCAAAAUAGACCUCAUCAAGGCGGGAGCCUUCGAUGGCCUGGAUGUGGUUUUCAUGGCGCACCCCUCGCAAGAAAACGCUGCUUACCUGCCCGACGUGGCCGAGCAUGAUGUGACUGUGAAAUACUAUGGAAAAGCUUCUCAUGCUGCUGCUUAUCCUUGGGAAGGAGUUAAUGCAUUAGAUGCUGCUGUUCUUGCGUACAACAAUCUGUCUGUUUUAAGACAGCAGAUGAAACCGACCUGGAGAGUUCAUGGUGUAAUAAAAAAUGGUGGUGUGAAACCUAACAUCAUUCCUUCUUACACUGAGCUGGAGUUUUACUUGCGUGCUCCUUCAAGGAAAGAGCUUUCUGUUCUGACAGAGAAGGUUGAAAACUGCUUCAAAUCUGCAGCAGUGGCCACAGGAUGCAAGGUGGAAAUAAAAGGUGGUGAAAAUGAUUACUACAAUGUGCUUCCAAAUAAGAGCCUGCAGAAAAUUUACAAGGAGAAUGGAAAGAAGCUUGGAAUAGAUUUUAUAUCAGAAGAUGCUAUCUUGAAUGGUUUGUCAGGAUGUCAGUUUCUUCUGUUGAAAGGGAAGGAAGAUAGCUCAGUUGCUUCUCCAUGUGUGUGCAGCAGAACAGUCGUUAAGAGCGGAGCGCACUCGCUGCCACCUCUGCAAGGGCAUUAGUGUGGCUCUGCUCCCAGGUAUCACUCUAGGCAAGGCCUCCCUGAGUACCUCAAAUCACAGGCUCUGGGUAUGCCCCGUGCAGCUCUGCUGCUGGGCACACAGCCAGGGGGAUGUGACUUACUGUGAGACUCAGCUAGCUUGGACCAGGCGCCAGGACCCGUUUCUCCUUCUGCUGUUUGUGGAGUAGCUGUACUACAGGAUAUCCAUAACCUCCUAAAGCAGAUGGCUUAGUUACACAUGUCUUAGUUGAGGCACCCACACCUGUGAUAACUUAACUUAGUCAAAAUACAAUAUUCAUGGGGUUCAUUGGCUUCCUGUGCACAAAACGGAUAAAGAAAAAUCUUAAGAAGGUCUAGUAUAUUUGAAAAUUCCACUUUUGAAUGUUGGGACUGUAUAUAAACGUUUCCUGGAAUCUUUUGUGUUUCCCCUCUGUUCCUGUUUGUGGUAAUACUGACUCCAUUAAAUAUGCAGUGACUUGAAGAGGCUUCAGGAUAUAUUUUUGAGAGGCUGGAACUCCAAUAUCUCUCUGUUGAAGAUAGCAUAGGAUUAUGUAUAUUGCAUUGAUAACUGCAAUUACUUAUGCUUCCAGAAAGAAUCCCAAUCUGGAUGUGUGUAGCAAGCACACAGUUUCAGAUGUUUUAGUGGAAACUGUUGGAACACCUGAUGUCACAAACUUACAGCUGUUAUUCCCAUAAAGGGUGUAACAUUUUGUCUGAUAGAGGGAAGAUUUAGCUGUCUCAUUUUUAAUAAAAGCUGCCUGGAUUUUUCCUCUCCAUGUUACUAGAAAAUACCCAAUUUAAAUGUCUUCUACUCAGCAAAAAUAACAUGUCAACUGGUAGUACAUUGAAUAUGGGCAUAAAUUUAGGAGGAAUGACAUGACUGAGAGCUACGAUGCAGUGAAAUUUCUAAUGUUUCAUUUGCUAAGUGGAAGUAGGGAAAAGGGCAGCACAGUCUUUGUGGCAGUUUGUGUAUUGGGACAUUCUAAGGCAGGUCUAGAACCCUUGGUUUAGUCUGGAGUAUGCAGAACUUCUGGUUUGUCUGUCCAGAUUGACCAAAGAAGGAAUCAGUAGUGCGGACUACUGGAAAUUAAAAUAACUUAUUGCUGUGCCAAGAGUUGGAUUUUCUUCAAAUGCAUCCUGAAUUUAUGGGAAGAGAUGUUUUUGAGCAAGCUUUGUUGUUUCCCUUAUCUGUAAGCAGAAUAAAUAGCAAACUCUUGUCCUCAUAAUGUAGGCUCUGUGGACUCACUUUCAAUAACUAUAGGCUUCCAAGUAAAAUCUGUAUUUUUCCAUCAUUUAAUUACUAAAUCUUAAGGCACUAGCAUUAUCUUCUCUUCAUAAAGUAUCACAAUAUAGAGGCUACCUGAUGUGUUAAAAUUAAAUUUUAUACGCCAUUGCUAAACAAACAAAUUCUUGCGUCUCUGGCCCCAAAAAAGUUAAUUGGGAUCUUAGUGGGUCACCCUAUUUUUCCCUGAUAAAAAACAAGGCUUCCUCUGGUACCUGGAUUUGACAAUAACUGGUAUGUUGGUUUCUCCAGCUUUGAAAUGUCAUGUUAACAAAUAAUGCUUGUUUGAGAAAAAAACAAAACCAAAACCACUUGGCAUGUAGUUGUAGACUCUUGGAAGAUUAAUGUGAAGAAUCUUCUACUUUGGGAUGAUAUCAUUCAGUAGAUAAGGCUGUGAGAUAGGUGCUAGAUAACAUACUGAAAGUGAUAGGCAUGAAAGAAUCAUCAUUAAAAUCUGCAGCAUUGCUAUCAGGUGUUUGUCUACAAUGCCCUAGCAUUUUGUCUGGAAUUUAGUUCUGAUUUUAUUUCAGGAGUGCUUGUGCCAUUGAGAUUUCCAUAACUGAGAAUAAUCAAAACACCUGGGGGUAAAACUAGUUACCCUCUAUCUGUUUUUGUUUAAAGAUAAAUAGUUUCUACUUUAGAAUGCUGAAUAUUUGCAUAUUGGUGAGAAGCAGAAAUUGUUUGGUUUAGUUCUAAAGGGCUCUAACAGGGCAAUAGCUGAAAUGCUUGACACUCCCAAGGUUUGCAGCCUUCCUGUUUCUGAAUUAACAGUUAACUGUCAGGAGAUACUUGAUUAAAAUGAGCAGUAAAAGGAAUAAGAACAUGCUGAUACAUCUUCCUUGCAGUCCAGUUACUGGUCAUUGAUCAGAAGUGCCUGGAGAGCAGCACCUGAAGAUGGCUAGUUAGGGAAAACACCUUGGUGACAGGAGAUAUUUGUAUGGAUAAUGGCUCAUUAGAAAUGUUCUUAUUUUAGUGUUUGGGGCAAAGGAUACUCCAUUUUAGAUAUGGGCUGGAGAGAAUAUCUACCAUGCAUUUUCUUACAGCAUUCAAAACUGCCCAACACUUUUUCAUUAAGAAAAUCUCUCUGCUCCUUCUAGGUUCCACAGACUUUGGAAAUGUUACAUUUGUAGUCCCUGGGAUUCAUCCUUAUUUUUAUAUUGGCUCUGAUGCAUUGAAUCAUACUGAGCAGUACACAGAAGCUGCAGGGUCACAGACUGCUCAGUUCUACGCCUUGCGCACAGCAAAAG